GCCAGUAUGGCACAGUGCUUUGAGAGUUGGACUAUAACUCUGGAGACCUGGGUUCGAUUCCCAGCUUGGCCA
rnacentral:tRNA from 1 species